UACAUGGGGUGCAAACGUUGCUCGGAAUUAUUGGGCGUAAAGCGCGCGUAGGCGGUUAUCUAAGUCGGAUGUGAAAGCCCUCGGCUUAACUGAGGAAGUGCACCCGAAACUGGAUAGCUAGAGUACGAAAGAGGGUCGCGGAAUUCCCGGUGUAGAGGUGAAAAUUCGUAGAUAUUGGGAAGAACACCGGUGGCGAAGGCGGCGCUCUGGACCGAGACUGACGCUGAGGCGCGAAAGCGUGGGGAGCGAACAGG
rnacentral:rRNA from 1 species